CGACAGGCUUAACACAUGCAAGUCGAGGGGCAGCACAGGUAGCAAUACCGGGUGGCGACCGGCGCACGGGUGAGUAACGCGUAUGCAACUUGCCUAUCAGAGGGGGAUAACCCGGCGAAAGUCGGACUAAUACCGCAUGAAGCAGGGAUCCCGCAUGGGAAUAUUUGCUAAAGAUUCAUCGCUGAUAGAUAGGCAUGCGUUCCAUUAGGCAGUUGGCGGGGUAACGGCCCACCAAACCGACGAUGGAUAGGGGUUCUGAGAGGAAGGUCCCCCACAUUGGUACUGAGACACGGACCAAACUCCUACGGGAGGCAGCAGUGAGGAAUAUUGGUCAAUGGCCGAGAGGCUGAACCAGCCAAGUCGCGUGAGGGAUGAAGGUUCUAUGGAUCGUAAACCUCUUUUAUAAGGGAAUAAAGUGCGGGACGUGUCCCGUUUUGUAUGUACCUUAUGAAUAAGGAUCGGCUAACUCCGUGCCAGCAGCCGCGGUAAUACGGAGGAUCCGAGCGUUAUCCGGAUUUAUUGGGUUUAAAGGGUGCGUAGGCGGCCUUUUAAGUCAGCGGUGAAAGUCUGUGGCUCAACCAUAGAAUUGCCGUUGAAACUGGGGGGCUUGAGUAUGUUUGAGGCAGGCGGAAUGCGUGGUGUAGCGGUGAAAUGCAUAGAUAUCACGCAGAACCCCGAUUGCGAAGGCAGCCUGCCAAGCCAUGACUGACGCUGAUGCACGAAAGCGUGGGGAUCAAACAGGAUUAGAUACCCUGGUAGUCCACGCAGUAAACGAUGAUCACUAGCUGUUUGCGAUACACUGUAAGCGGCACAGCGAAAGCGUUAAGUGAUCCACCUGGGGAGUACGCCGGCAACGGUGAAACUCAAAGGAAUUGACGGGGGCCCGCACAAGCGGAGGAGCAUGUGGUUUAAUUCGAUGAUACGCGAGGAACCUUACCCGGGUUUGAACGCAUUCGGACCGAGGUGGAAACACCUUUUCUAGCAAUAGCCGUUUGCGAGGUGCUGCAUGGUUGUCGUCAGCUCGUGCCGUGAGGUGUCGGCUUAAGUGCCAUAACGAGCGCAACCCUUGCCACUAGUUACUAACAGGUGAUGCUGAGGACUCUGGUGGGACUGCCAGCGUAAGCUGCGAGGAAGGCGGGGAUGACGUCAAAUCAGCACGGCCCUUACAUCCGGGGCGACACACGUGUUACAAUGGCGUGGACAAAGGGAAGCCACCUGGCGACAGGGAGCGAAUCCCCAAACCACGUCUCAGUUCGGAUCGGAGUCUGCAACCCGACUCCGUGAAGCUGGAUUCGCUAGUAAUCGCGCAUCAGCCAUGGCGCGGUGAAUACGUUCCCGGGCCUUGUACACACCGCCCGUCAAGCCAUGGGAGCCGGGGGUACCUGAAGUCCGUAACCGCGAGGAUCGGCCUAGGGUAAAACUGGUGACUGGGGC
rnacentral:rRNA from 1 species